UACGUAGGGGGGCAAGCGUUUGUCCGGAUUUAUUGGGCGUAAAGAGCGUGUAGGCGGCCAGACAAGUCCGUUGUGAAAACUAGAGGCUUAACCUCUAGACGUCGAUGGAAACUGUUUUGGCUAGAGUCCGGAAGAGGAGAAUGGAAUUCCUGGUGUAGCGGUGAAAUGCGCAGAUAUCAGGGAAGAACACCCGUGGCUAAGGCGGUUCUCUAGUACGGUACUGACGCU
rnacentral:rRNA from 1 species